rnacentral:lncRNA from 1 species
AAAAGGAGCAAAAUUUCCUUAAAAUUACUAAUUCAGGGCCAGCAACCCAACAACGGGUUGUCCGAUUCAUCUGAAAAUUUCAGGGCAGAUAGAUCUUGAACUGAUAAACAAUUUUACCCCAUGUCAGAUUUGCUCUAAAUGCUUUGGGUUUUGAGUUAUAAGCCAAAAACUGCAUUUUACCCCAUGUUCUAUUUUUAGCCAUGGCGGCCAUCUUGGUUUGAUGGCCGGGUCACCGGACACAUUUUUCAAACUACUAACCCAAAAGAUGAUUGUGGCCAAGUUUGGAUUAAUUUGGCCCAGUAGUUUCAGAGGAAAAGAUUUUUGUAAAAUAUUACUAAGAUUUACGAAAAAUGAUUAAAAAUUGACUAUAAAGGGCAAUAACU